rnacentral:lncRNA from 1 species
GCAUGAUCAUUACAUAACAAGCUUUUUACGAAGAGUGAUUUGUUUAUAUAUAUAAAAUUCAGUUUAUAUAAAUUGAACUUGAAUUUUAUUUAUAAAAGGUGUCUCAAAAAGAACACCAGAUUUGAAACUACUAUAAAUCAAAUUUAUGUAUUUGAAAAAAGCAAACAAAACACACCAUUCUAUUCAAGAGAUGUUGAGGUUUAAACGUGAAACACAAUAUCUGGCACAUGAUCUCCCUACUAUCCUUACAUGCGAUUGCUUGGUCUGUGAAAUUAACCAUCACCUGCUCACACAUUUCCCCAUCAACUUUGUCGAGGACACGCUGAAUUUCUUGUUUGAGUUCCAACAGAUUAGGGGUUUGUUCUAGUAAAUUUGUGACUUAGCAUACCCCCAUCGGAAAAAGUCACAAGGUGUCAGGUCAUAAGAUCAAUGUGGGUAGGUUUGGUCUCCUCAUAACAAGAUUAGUCUGUCCGGGAACUUUUUAC